rnacentral:lncRNA from 1 species
CGAUUGGUAGGUUAAAAUGAAGAAAAUUUGAAGCAAAUUAGACUUAAAAUAGAUUCAGAAUCAAGACUCAAAGACAAGCUAAAAAUAGGCUUGAAUUGGGCUCAAAAUCAAUUCAAACCAGCUCGAACCUAAUACAAUUAAACCCAAAUUGGUGCCUGAUGUACGGUGGACCGACCGCUCAAUCCACAGAGUAAGCAACGCAAUCCACAAAAAUUCAUCUGGUCCACAGUCGCGGUCCAUGGGGUGGCUUGGCUCCUAUG